ensembl:lncRNA
CGGCCCGGCCACCGCGCCGCGCGCUCCCCGCCUGGGAGGCCGCCCUUGGAGGAGCGCCCCUGAGCCCCGCCGGGCCCCGGAAGUCCCGGGACGGGGAGCAGGGACUCGGGCCGCGGUCCCGGCGCCCUCGCCGAGGUCCAGCGAGCCCGUCCGUGGCACCUGCCGCCCCUGGCCGGCCGCUGCUCGGCGCACUCCCUCCUCCUCGGGAGGGCGCGCCCUCCGGCCGGUCCGCUAGGAGCCUCGCUCCGCGCCCCGCGUCGGGGACCCAGCGCUGCGGCCCCGCGUAGCCGCCCACGUGCCUCGGCCUGGGGUCCGGCCGCCGCCGGGGCCUGGCUUGCGGGACCGACGCCCGCCGUGCGGCGCUGGAAGCUCCCGGGCCCUGGGCGUCGCACACCGAGGGGCAGAAGGUUGUUCAACUUGCCAGCUCUCUUCAGAGGACCCAACGGUGCCAGAGGAGACUUGCUCCAGGUCCCAUCUGAGACUUGGAAGCGGCUUCUCAUGCAUGUCUUCCCUCAAGUUUCUGGAAGGAUGAUGUGGGGCACGACCUGGGGGACAAAAGCAGUGGUUUCAUCCCCAGAAGCCUCAGCCGCUCAGUCCAUUUCCUUCUGGGUCAUGCAAACACAUCUGCUUUCCUGCGAGAUUUCGUCAGUGAUGACACCAGAAGCCUGAGGAAGAUGGGCCAGGGGUCACCCAGCCCCUUUAACCCCUCUAGUCCUUUCUGGCCUUGGGGAAAGAUCUGCCAACCCAACAUUGAUCUUGGAUAGAUCAGUUCUAGACCAGGCAGAAGGACAGAACUAAGUACGUCAAAGCAAAGAAGACACAUCAGAAUCUUUGUGGGUCAGGCCAGGAUUAGGUCUCACGCACCUAGCCUGACAGU